rnacentral:tRNA from 2 species
UGCGGCUGUGGUGUAAUUGGUAGCCACGCCAGACUUAGGAUCUGGUGCUUCACGGCGUGCGAGUUCGAGUCUCGCCAGCCGCACCCA